UGCCACUUCGGGUGUGACACGGAAAUCCUCCAUUGCUGUUUCACAGAGUCAGUGUGACCCAAGAUUGGAGUUUGCUUUCAUGCAGUGAACUGAAGAGUAAGAACGGAGUGAACUAAUACGAGAAACCAACUCUGUAGAUGACAAGGUUAAUGAAAAUCUUAGACAGAAGUUGCUGUAAACAUUUCAGAUUGAUUGAGGACAUUGCAGCAGCCACAGAGACGUGAAAGAGGACUGCUGGAACUGCUUCAGAAGGCAGCAAGACCCGCGGGAGAACUGUCUGAAGUGAGGGAGGAAUACUUUGCGGGUGAUUAGUGGCGGAGAUCCAGCCCAUACCUGCUGUGACUACGGCAAGACCAGAAGUCGCUGUCAGGCGGUGGCACCCUGCACCCUGUUCCCGUGAUCAGAGCACCCUUGAUUGUGAGGACCCCCCUGUCUGGGGGCUGGACGUGGCCCUCGCUGUGUGGUUGGCCCUGCUGGCCCUAGUGCAAACACCGGGUGCUCAGAAUGUGUCAAGCUUUCAUUGUCCACAACACGGAAGGGCAGAGACAAGAUGAGGAACAAGGAUGCAGGUCAUUGGUGACCAGAACACAAAUGCUUCCAUUAUUUCAUUCUUCCCCGAAGUCUGUGAUCGACUGGGGCAGGAGAUGCUCUGGGUUUUACAGAUGGAGACGCUAAGGUCCCAAGAAGGUGACCAUGCCAGUUGGCACAGCAAGCUACUAAGCUGGCACUGGGAUGGUGGUGGUUGUGGCUCUACCUCACCGAGCACAGGUCUCCAGUUGCAGUUGUCACAUUUCAAGGGCUCAAUAGCCACAUGUGCAUCUUAGUGGAAGCCCCACCUGGAUCAAGGCAUGAGAACAUAAACACCGCCUCUCGAUGGGAGAAGGGCCAAGCUGGGUGGACUUGCCGUGCCACGGAAUGAAAGCAAGCCUGGCCCCCUUCUCACUGAUUGAAAGACGGAGCCACUGACAGCCAUCUCCAGCAGCUUCCUUGCUGGCGGGGGUUCCUCCAUUAACAGCAAUGAAAAUAAUUUGGGAGAACAUAAGCCCAUCGAAUGCUGUUGCUGUCCUAUGCAUUGCACCAAAUGAGGAGAAGCCCGGUGAGCUCCAUCGUUUGUCACACGGAAGCAUAACACAGUAGCGGGGUUGCCGGCAUCUGGAGUUGGUGGCAGUAGACGGUGUGGCAGCAACCAGGGCACUGAGACCUGGGACCAGGGCGCACAUUUCACGGGUCUCUGUGCAGGUGAUUUGGCUGGGUUUUCCUUUAGCUUGAGGGCUUCG
rnacentral:lncRNA from 1 species